rnacentral:rRNA from 1 species
UCUAGAGGCUUCGGCAAUGCCCGAAAGGGUGACCGAGCGACGCCGCGUGUGGGAUGAAGGCCUUCGGGUUGUAAACCACUGUCAGUAGGGAAGAAUGCCUGGAUGGUGAAUCCAGGAGAGACGGUACCUGCAGAGGAAGCCACGGCUAACUCCGUGCCAGCAGCCGCGGUAAUACGGAGGUGGCAAGCGUUGUUCGGAAUUACUGGGCGUAAAGGGCGCGUAGGCGGAAUGGUCCGUCCGAUGUGAAAGUGCUACCGCUUAACGGAGCAAAGUCAUCGGAAACCGCCAUUCUUGAGACCGGAAGAGGUGAGUGGAAUUGCCAGUGUAGCGGUGGAAUGUGUAGAUAUUGGCAAGAACACCGGUGGCGAAGGCGGCUCACUGGUCCGGUUCUGACGCUGAGUGCGCGAAAGCGUGGGGAGCGAACAGGGAUUAGGAUACCCUGGUAGUCCACGCCCUAAAC